rnacentral:tRNA from 1 species
GGAGAGAUGGCUCAGUGGUUAAGAGCACUGGCUGCUUUUCCAGAGGACCCGGGUUCAAUUCCCAGUACCCACCU